GUGCUCGCUUCAGCAGCACACAUACUAAAAUUGGAACGAUACAGAGAAGAUUAGUAUGGUCCCUGCGCAAGGAUGACACGCAAAUUCAUGAAGCAUUCCAUAUUUUU
rnacentral:snRNA from 1 species